GACGAACGCUGGCGGCGUGCUUAACACAUGCAAGUCGAACGAAGAGCGAUGGACGCUUGCUUCUAUCAAUCUUAGUGGCGCACGGGUGAGUAACGCGUAAUCAACCUGCCCUUCAGAGGGGGACAACAGUUGGAAACGACUGCUAAUACCGCAUACGAUCUAAUCUCGGCAUCGAGGAUAGAUGAAAGGUGGCCUCUACAUGUAAGCUAUCACUGAAGGAGGGGAUUGCGUCUGAUUAGCUAGUUGGAGGGGUAACGGCCCACCAAGGCGAUGAUCAGUAGCCGGUCUGAGAGGAUGAACGGCCACAGUGGGACUGAGACACGGCCCAGACUCCUACGGGAGGCAGCAGUGGGGAAUCUUCCGCAAUGGACGAAAGUCUGACGGAGCAACGCCGCGUGAGUGAUGACGGCCUUCGGGUUGUAAAGCUCGGUUAAUCGGGACGAAAGGCCUUCUUGCGAAUAGGGAGAAGGAUUGACGGUACCGGAAUAGAAAGCCACGGCUAACUACGUG
rnacentral:rRNA from 1 species